UCUCCUGGAAACGGGUGGUAAUGCCGGAUGCUCCAGUUGAUCGCAUGGUCUUCUGGGAAAGCUUUCGCGGUAUGGGAUGGGGUCGCGUCCUAUCAGCUUGACGGCGGGGUAACGGCCCACCGUGGCUUCGACGGGUAGCCGGCCUGAGAGGGCGACCGGCCACAUUGGGACUGAGAUACGGCCCAGACUCCUACGGGAGGCAGCAGUGGGGAAUAUUGCACAAUGGGCGCAAGCCUGAUGCAGCGACGCCGCGUGAGGGAUGGAGGCCUUCGGGUUGUAAACCUCUUUUAUCGGGGAGCAAGCGAGAGUGAGUUUACCCGUUGAAUAAGCACCGGCUAACUACGUGCCAGCAGCCGCGGUAAUACGUAGGGUGCAAGCGUUAUCCGGAAUUAUUGGGCGUAAAGGGCUCGUAGGCGGUUCGUCGCGUCCGGUGUGAAAGUCCAUCGCUUAACGGUGGAUCCGCGCCGGGUACGGGCGGGCUUGAGUGCGGUAGGGGAGACUGGAAUUCCCGGUGUAACGGUGGAAUGUGUAGAUAUCGGAAAAGAAC
rnacentral:rRNA from 1 species